GAUGAACGCUGACAGCAUGCUUAACACAUGCAAGUCUUUGGUGAAGCUGUGCUUGCACAGCCUAGCCAAGGCGGACGGGUGAGUAACGCGUAAGGAACUUGCCCUGCAGUCAGGGAUAACAGACGGAAACGACUGAUAAGACCUGGUAAAGUCAGGCGGACUCAUGUCCAGCCUGAUGAAAAGAGAUGAUGCAGGAGAGCCUUGCGUCCUAUUAGCUUGUUGGUGGGGUAACGGCCCACCAAGGCAAUGAUAGGUAGCCGGCCUGAGAGGGUGGACGGCCACAAGGGGACUGAGAGACGGCCCUUACUACUACGGGAGGCAGCAGUGGGGAAUAUUGGAGCAUGGGGGCAACCCUGAUCCAGCAAUUCUGUGUGCAAGAUGAAGGUUUUCGGAUUGUAAAGUGCUUUCAGCAGGGAAGAAAAAAAUGACGGUACCUGCAGAAGAAGCGACGGCUAAAUACGUG
rnacentral:rRNA from 1 species